rnacentral:pre_miRNA from 14 species
UUUUAAUUCUGAAAGACCCCCGGAGCGGGGAGACCCUCACUCAAGUCUCGGGAUGAUGCGACCCCCCAGGAACUCACGUGAGACC